rnacentral:rRNA from 1 species
AGAGUUUGAUCCUGGCUCAGAUUGAACGCUGGCGGCAUGCCUUACACAUGCAAGUCGAACGGCAGCACGGGUGCUUGCACCUGGUGGCGAGUGGCGAACGGGUGAGUAGUGCAUCGGAACGUACCCAGUAGUGGGGGAUAACUACCCGAAAGGGUGGCUAAUACCGCAUAUACUGUGCGCAGGAAAGCAGGGGACCGUAAGGCCUUGUGCUACUGGAGCGGCCGAUGUCAGAUUAGCUAGUUGGUGGGGUAAAGGCCUACCAAGGCGACGAUCUGUAGCGGGUCUGAGAGGAUGAUCCGCCACACUGGGACUGAGACACGGCCCAGACUCCUACGGGAGGCAGCAGUGGGGAAUUUUGGACAAUGGGGGCAACCCUGAUCCAGCCAUGCCGCGUGAGUGAAGAAGGCCUUCGGGUUGUAAAGCUCUUUCGGACGGAAAGAAAACGGAUGGGUUAAUACCCUGUUCGGAUGACGGUACCGUCAUAAGAAGCACCGGCUAACUACGUGCCAGCAGCCGCGGUAAUACGUAGGGUGCGAGCGUUAAUCGGAAUUACUGGGCGUAAAGCGUGCGCAGGCGGUUGAUUAAGACAGGCGUGAAAUCCCCGGGCUUAACCUGGGAACUGCGCUUGUGACUGGUCGGCUAGAGUACGGCAGAGGGGGGUGGAAUUCCACGUGUAGCAGUGAAAUGCGUAGAGAUGUGGAGGAACACCGAUGGCGAAGGCAGCCCCCUGGGCCGAUACUGACGCUCAUGCACGAAAGCGUGGGUAGCAAACAGGAUUAGAUACCCUGGUAGUCCACGCCCUAAACGAUGUCAACUAGUUGUUGGGAGGGUAAAACCUUUUAGUAACGUAGCUAACGCGUGAAGUUGACCGCCUGGGGAGUACGGCCGCAAGGCUAAAACUCAAAGGAAUUGACGGGGACCCGCACAAGCGGUGGAUGAUGUGGAUUAAUUCGAUGCAACGCGAAAAACCUUACCUACCCUUGACAUGUCAGAGAUCCCUGAGAGAUUGGGGAGUGCCGCAAGGAAUCUGAACACAGGUGCUGCAUGGCUGUCGUCAGCUCGUGUCGUGAGAUGUUGGGUUAAGUC